CCUACUAUAGUUUAUUAAAAACGUUGAAUUGCAAAUUCAAAAAUGAAAAUAUAUUCUAGUAAGU
rnacentral:tRNA from 1 species